rnacentral:rRNA from 1 species
GCAUAAGCUGGGUAUCGCUACGUGAAUACAUAGCGUAGCGAGGCGAACCGGGAGAACUGAAACAUCUAAGUACCCCGAGGAAAAGAAAUCAACCGAGAUUCCCUCAGUAGCGGCGAGCGAACGGGGAUUAGCCCUUAAGCAUCUUGGAAGUUAGUGGAACGGUCCUGGAAAGGCCGGCGAUACAGGGUGAUAGCCCCGUACACGAAAACAACCUUGAUGUGAAAUCGAGUAGGGCGGGACACGUGACAUCCUGUCUGAAUAUGGGGGGACCAUCCUCCAAGGCUAAAUACUCCUGACUGACCGAUAGUGAACCAGUACCGUGAGGGAAAGGCGAAAAGAACCCCUGUGAGGGGAGUGAAAUAGAACCUGAAACCGUGUACGUACAAGCAGUGGGAGCCCUUCGGGGUGACUGCGUACCUUUUGUAUAAUGGGUCAGCGACUUACAUUUUGUAGCGAGGUUAACCGUAUAGGGGAGCCGUAGGGAAACCGAGUCUUAACUGGGCGUCUAGUUGCAAGGUGUAGACCCGAAACCGGGUGAUCUAGCCAUGGGCAGGUUGAAGGUUGAGUAACAUCAACUGGAGGACCGAACCCACUAACGUUGCAAAGUUAGGGGAUGACCUGUGGCUGGGGGUGAAAGGCCAAUCAAACUCGGAGAUAGCUGGUUCUCCCCGAAAGCUAUUUAGGUAGCGCCUCGGACGAAUACUACUGGGGGUAGAGCACUGUUUGGGCUAGGGGGUCAUCCCGACUUACCAACCCCAUGCAAACUCCGAAUACCAGUAAGUAAUAUCCGGGAGACACACGGCGGGUGCUAACGUCCGUCGUGAAGAGGGAAACAACCCAGACCGCCGGCUAAGGUCCCAAAGUUCUGGUUAAGUGGGAAACGAUGUGGGAAGGCUCAGACAGCUAGGAUGUUGGCUUAGAAGCAGCCAUCAUUUAAAGAAAGCGUAAUAGCUCACUAGUCGAGUCGGCCUGCGCGGAAGAUGUAACGGGGCUCAAACCAGGCACCGAAGCCGCGGAUUCACGCUAAGCGUGAGUGGUAGGGGAGCGUUCUGUAAGUCUGCGAAGGUGU